GAUGAACGCUGGCGGCGUGCCUAACACAUGCAAGUCGAACGAAGCUUGACGGAUGAUUUCUUCGGAAUGAAACCAGAUAUGACUUAGUGGCGGACGGGUGAGUAACACGUGAGCAACCUGCCUUUCAGAGGGGGAUAACGGCUGGAAACGGUCGCUAAUACCGCAUGAUGUGUUCGGAUGGCAUCAUCUGAACAUCAAAGAUUUAUCGCUGAAAGAUGGGCUCGCGCCUGAUUAGAUAGUUGGUGGGGUAACGGCCUACCAAGUCUACGAUCAGUAGCCGGACUGAGAGGUUGAACGGCCACAUUGGGACUGAGAUACGGCCCAGACUCCUACGGGAGGCAGCAGUGGGGAAUAUUGCACAAUGGGGGAAACCCUGAUGCAGCAACGCCGCGUGAAGGAUGACGGUUUUCGGAUUGUAAACUUCUUUUCUUAGUGACGAAGACAGUGACGGUAGCUAAGGAAUAAGCAUCGGCUAACUACGUG
rnacentral:rRNA from 1 species